UGAGCAAUCUGCCCUUCACUUCGGGAUAACUCCGGGAAACCGGUGCUAAUACCGAAUACGACCACCUCAGGCAUCUGAUGGUGGUGGAAAGUUCCGGCGGUGGAGGAUGAGCUCGCGGCCUAUCAGCUUGUUGGUGGGGUAAAGGCCCACCAAGGCAACGACGGGUAGCCGGCCUGAGAGGGUGACCGGCCACACUGGGACUGAGACACGGCCCAGACUCCUACGGGAG
rnacentral:rRNA from 1 species